rnacentral:rRNA from 1 species
GAUGAACGCUGGCGGCGUGCCUAAUACAUGCAAGUCGAGCGAACAGACGAGGAGCUUGCUCCUCUGACGUUAGCGGCGGACGGGUGAGUAACACGUGGAUAACCUACCUAUAAGACUGGGAUAACUUCGGGAAACCGGAGCUAAUACCGGAUAAUAUAUUGAACCGCAUGGUUCAAUAGUGAAUGACGGUUUUGCUGUCACUUAUAGAUGGAUCCGCGCCGCAUUCGCUAGUUGGUAAGGUAACGGCUUACCAAGGCAACGAUGCGUAGCCGACCUGAAGGGGUGAACGGCCACACUGGAACAGAGACUGGGACCAGGCGCCUGGGGGAGGCGACAGUAGGGAAGCUACCGCAGCGGGCGAAAGUCUGACGGGGCAACCCCGCGUGAGAGAUGAAGGUCUUCCGAUCGUAAAACUCUGUUAUUAGGGAAGAACAAAUGUGUAAGUAACUAUGCACGUCUUGACGGUACCUAAUCAGAAAGCCACGGCUAACUACGUG